rnacentral:rRNA from 1 species
GAUGAGCGCUGGCGGCGUGCUUAACACAUGCAAGUCGAACGAGAAAUGGAGACGGAAACCUUCGGGCGGAAGGCUUCAUUUCGAGUGGCGGACGGGUGAGUAACGCGUGGGUAACCUGCCUCAUACAGGGGGAUAACAGUUGGAAACGACUGUUAAUACCGCAUAAGACCACAGCACCGCAUGGUGCGGGGGUAAAAACUCCGGUGGUAUGAGAUGGACCCGCGUUGGAUUAGCCAGUUGGCGGGGUAACGGCCAACCAAAGCGACGAUCGAUAGCCGAUCUGAGAGGAUGACCGGCCACAUUGGGACUGAGACACGGCCCAAACUCCUACGGGAGGCAGCAGUGGGGAAUAUUGCACAAUGGGGGAAACCCUGAUGCAGCGACGCCGCGUGAGUGAAGAAGUACUUCGGUAUGUAAAGCUCUAUCAGCAGGGAAGAAAAUGACGGUACCUGAGGAAGAAGCCCCGGCUAACUACGUG